CCCUUAGAUGUUCUGGGCCGCACACGCGCUACACUGAAGGAGGCAGCGUGUACUCCUGGAUCGAAAGAUUUUGGUAACCCGCGAAUCUCCUUCGUGCUAGGGAUUGAGGUUUGCAAUUAUCCUUCAUGAACGAGGAAUUCCCAGUAAGUGCAAGUCAUAAGCUUGCGCUGACUACGUCCCUGCCCUUUGUACACACCGCCCGUCGCUACUACCGAUUGAAUGAUUUAGUGAGGACUUCGGACUGGGACCGAUGCGGCUUUCGGGCUGCGUCGGUAUUCUGGAAAGAUGUCCAAACUGUAUCAUUUAGAGGAAGUAAAAGUCGUAACA
rnacentral:rRNA from 1 species